GAUGAACGCUGGCGGCAUGCCUAACACAUGCAAGUCGGACGAGCAGUGGUGUUUCCAGUGGCUGACGGGUGAGUAACGCGUAAGAACCUGCCCUUGGGAGGAGCACACCAGCUGGAAGCGGCUGCUAAUACCCCGUAGGCCGAGGAGCAAAAAGAGGAAUCCGCCCGAGGGGGGGCUUGCGUCUGAUUAGCUAGCUGGUGCGGGAAUAGCUGACCACGGCGAGGGUCCGGAGCUGGUACGAGAGGAUGAUCAGCCACACUGGGACUGAGACACGGACAAGACACCUACGGGAGGCAGCAGUAGGGAAGAUGCCGCAAUGGGCGAAAGCCUGACGAGGCAAUGCCGCGGUGAGGUAGAGUGCCCACGGGUCGUGAACUGCUUUUCUCGGUGAAGAAGCAUUGACGGUAUCUAGGCAGUAAGCAACGGCUAACUCUGUG
rnacentral:rRNA from 1 species